UACCCCCGAGCUCCCCGCUGGCCCCUUAAAAUAGUUCCCGUCGAGGUGUCCGUCUAGACGUGGAUCUCUGCUUCUCUUUUGCUGUGAAGUCUCUCUCUCGCUGCGCGCAGAGCCCAGCCCGGUGCCGCUGGCGGAGCGCUGCCGGCCCGGCUCCGUCCGGGGCGCGCGGGACCGCCCUGCACCGCGGCGGGCCAGGAGCAGCGGAGCCGCCGGGGGCCGUCGGCUUUGCCUCGGACACCCACCUGGGUCGUGUCUGCGUUGCUCCGGACCGCGCCAGGCUCGGAAAAGGUGCCGCUGAAUUCCUAAGGCAUUGCCAUGGGAAUUUUCCCUUUUUGGGGAUUGCAGCGGAGCUCCAGGACUAGCUGUUGUUGUGACGUGCAUCUUGCAGUAGCCCUCAUUCAAGAACUCCAUCCAAGCAUCUCGUGCAGAGAAUGAAACCAUCAGUUGUCCUCAGAGAAGAGCUCCGUGCUGCAGCCACGCAUUGCAGCCCAGGAAAAUAUUUAAUACAGGAAUAGAAUUGAGGUAAAGACCCACGGUGUGUUUAAAACCUGCCCUAAAAAUGAUGAAUGAUGUCAUGAUGUGGUAAGAGUGGUGGAAGGACUUGGAUAAGUCAUGUGUCACCACCUGACAGGCAGUUCAGCACAUCCAGGUGGGUGUUGGGGUUACAGUUUUUGUAAUGCACUGAUUUUUUUUUUUUUAUUCUCCACAAGAAGUCCUUUUUUUAGAGGACUUCUGUGUGCUUUAGUGUUCUUCCAAAAGUUAAAGAGAAAAUGAAGAACAAAUAUGAAUGGAAAAAAAAAAAGAAAACAGAAAGAAAAAGAAAAAAAAAAGAAAAAUCAAAACAGAGUGGAAGUUUGGAGCCAGAGUACAGACAGAUGUAAUUUUCAGGAAAUUCAUGGUAAUUUUUGGGUAUGUCAGAUUUGGUCAUACUGUGAAAUGUUUUAAAACCUCAGUUGUGCUAAACUUGCAUGUUAAUGGUAGUUUUGGUAGAUUUUGGAUAGAGCUGAGAGCUGAUACCCUUGAGUCCCUGCAGGCAAAACCUCUGGGUUAUCUGGUUCCAUAAUCCUGGGUGGAUGUAUGCAAUUGCAGCUUUGUUGCAUCAUUCUCUUUGAGAUGAGCAAAAGGGAAGAUUAAUUUCCUAGAAAUAGCUUUCUCUGCUUUGCAUCCAUAUCAAUUUCAGUGACUUAAGAUCUCUUUCCUUUUUUUUUUUUGAGAAUGGAGGGAGUGUUUAAACUGAAGACUUAAGGAGCAUAGCAGUGCUGCAAACUUUUCUAAGCCCCAGGCAAAAACUAAACAUCAGUAUAUUGCAGUCUGUUUGUAUGGAAUAUUUGAAGAGCUUCAUUUUUAUCUUUGAGCAGUUUAAGACUCUGGAGAGAUACACAAACCUCUUCCUUCUCCCUGUGAAAUAAACAGGAGCUAAUAUGUAUUGUUGCUGCAUUCUAGUACUUUUUUGUGAUCCUUUACUCCACUAUUCAAUAUUUUUCAAUUUGAUUAAUCCUUGUAGUGCAGGGAAAGCUGUGUUUAAUUCUGUUGUGAUCACCUCUCCCAAAAGGCAACAGGAUUUUCCUGAAAUGACUGAACUUGUUUGAAUGAGGGUGCUUUUCCAAACCAUCUGCUUUGUCUUCAUUAAAAACCUGUAGUGAUGGAUCUGCAUCGCUGUCACCUGUGGCGAGUGACUUCUAGCCCAGUCAGGCUGUGUUUAACUUCUGUAUCUGUUAGGCCUUUGCUAGACUGGGAAACUGCUCUCACAGUUUGGUUCCCACAGAGGUGUGCAUGAACCUAGGCUUUGAUAAGCUAAUUAGACAGAGUUCUCUCACUGAAAUGCAUCUCCACAGCCUUUAAUCAGCUCUGUGACUCUGCUCUCGGCUGCUCCGAAUUUAAAGAGGUAUUUUCUGUCCCUACCCCUCUGCCUGUUCCCUUUUCCUUGCUGUGCUCUGUGGUUUGCCUUUAAAUAUCUCUGGGGGGUGGAACUGUCUGUGUGUUUUGUAUGUUAUUGAGGAUCUGGGAGGGCCUCUGGGUGCUGCUGUAAUAAAUGUUAAAUAAUAAAGCUGAGAGGAGGUGUUGCUUUAGCAGUGUAUGGGUUACCAGGGAAGAAAUGGAGA